CCCGGCCAGGGUCGCGCCUGGCUGUAGCCCGAGUGGGGGGAGUGUGUCUGGACUGUGCGGGCGAGGCCGAGGGCCCAUCUUUACCAAUGCCGAUCCUGCGCCGACUUCAAGUUGGCGGUCGCCAUUGCUCACCGGGCGGAAGCUUGGUGGUAAAUCCUAUGCGACUGGUGGACUUGGGUGAUGAUGCGAGGCGGAACGCCACAGGCUGGAAACAGAGCAAGGAAAAGUCUCCGCCGUCAUCAGUGAAGCGAUCACGUGGGUGAAUUGGGGGGCGGAUCACCCGGAGCCCGCGUGAGGCAUAGGAUUUACU
rnacentral:SRP_RNA from 1 species